UACGUAGGGACCAAGCGUUGUUCGGAUUUACUGGGCGUAAAGGGCGCGUAGGCGGCGUGGUAAGUCAGCUGUGAAAUCUCCGAGCUUAACUCGGAACGGUCAGCUGAUACUGCUGUGCUAGAGUACAGAAGGGGCAAUCGGAAUUCUUGGUGUAGCGGUGAAAUGCGUAGAUAUCAAGAGGAACACCUGAGGCGAAGGCGGGUUGCUAGGCUGAUACUGACGCUGAGUGCGCGAAAGCUAGGGUAGCAAACGGG
rnacentral:rRNA from 1 species